AGGCCUAGGCCAACAACGCACUAUUCUGAUAACUAUGCGAUUGCGAUAUUAAGUGCAAUUCAGGGGCCAGAUAAAUGCACUGGCUGCUAAAGCGCACCCGUUACGCAGAAUGCGGCCGCUCCUUGGGACGCAGGAGGCGGGGGCACAAUAGGCGAUCUUUGGUUCUUGCCAGUUUUACAUCGUCACGGCAAUUCCUGCUUGGCCAUCCUAGAAAAUUAUGAUUACUUAUCCCGGCUGCCAGUGACGUAUCUCCCGAGGAUAUCAUUGUCACUGUCGUAGGAAGAGUCGACAAGGCCGCUCUUAUAAUUACCAUGGAACAGGACGAUCUGAGUUAAAUGGAUUAACCGGACGUGGGGAUCCGUGUUGAGAGAAUUUGGAUGCGACGGGGUUGCGAAUGGCGGGUGUCUCUACGGAUAUGAUGUCGAAUUCAUUCUGGGGACGAGCAGUGCUACCAACCCCACGAUGACCAUUCGGAUUACCGGCAGAGUCAUAACGGUAUCCAGAAGCUCUUCUCUCAGCGGCUUGUCUGGAAAGCCUCCUCCAUCGCCUUGACGAUGAUCUCGUUAAUGGAAUAGAAACUCUGAGCCUGAGAACAGUCGACCUGGUUCCACCAUUCGCAGACCAGUCGCUCCUGAUUGAAAAGUGUGCCGUUGGGACAGAGGAAGGAGUCCUU